rnacentral:rRNA from 1 species
GACGAACGCUGGCGGCGUGCUUAACACAUGCAAGUCGAACGGAAAGGCCCUGCUUUUGUGGGGUGCUCGAGUGGCGAACGGGUGAGUAACACGUGAGUAACCUGCCCUUGACUUUGGGAUAACUUCAGGAAACUGGGGCUAAUACCGGAUAGGAGCUCCUGCUGCAUGGUGGGGGUUGGAAAGUUUCGGCGGUUGGGGAUGGACUCGCGGCUUAUCAGCUUGGUGGUGGGGUAGUGGCUUACCAAGGCUUUGACGGGUAGCCGGCCUGGGAGGGUGACCGGACACAUUGGGACUGAGAUACGACCCAGACUCCUACGGGAGGCAGCAGUGGAGAAUAUUACACAAUGGGCGGAGGCCUGAUGCAGCAACGCCGCGUGCGGGAUGACGGCCUUCGGGUUGUAAUCCGCUUUCGCCUGUGACGAGGCGUGAGUGACGGUAAUGGGUAAAGAAGCACCGGCUAACUACGUG